AUGUUCUGUGGGAGUUUUAAAAGCUUGUGGUAAACUAAUGUUUGAUACUCCGGGCUUUAGAGAGUAACCAAAUCUUAACACUUUUGUUACCAAAUCUAAACACUUUAUUGUUGUGUGUGUGAGUUGCAUUAAGCAUUAAAAGAAAGUGUUGUUUAGUUGUUUCACAUUAGUGUUAAGUUAAAUCAAUUGCGGGAAAUCCAAGUUCGUGCCAUCAUGUCAGCACACAACAACAGAAACCAAACGUCUGCCUUUUCAUUUUCACUAACCAAUUUUAAUUACCUCGGAAUACGGAAAUAAAACAACCUAUGCCUAUGCCACUAAUAUAAUACUCUCACCUCUCUCUCUCUACAAGUUUACCAAUCCGCUACCUUCACUUAAUGCACACUCUUGCCAUGGCAUUUUCCAUAUCCACCUCCCCAACGCAUGUUUUCCGCUUAAAAGGUUUGGAAAAACCAAUGGUGCAUGCUGCAACAAGGAUUCAAUCCACGCGGAGUGUAACACAUGAAAAAUUUAUCAUCAUUUGACGGUAAUGAAGUUGCGGUAUUGGGAAUGAAGCCAUCGGUCCAGAUAGUUUAAUUACUAUUAUGUACUUAUAUUGAAUUUUUUGUACAUUAUGAUUUGAUGUAGUCUGGAUCAAUCAUUUGUUGUACAUCAAUUCGCUAUAUAGAUAUAGUGAUCUCUUGAACAUCUCAUAUUUUUAUGCCAUUAGUUUCUUCUUUCUU